rfam:Schistosoma haematobium scaffold448_26, whole genome shotgun sequence.
AUUCAGCUGACGAGUCCCAAACAGGACGAAACGCGCGUCCUGGCU